GAUGAACGCUGGCGGCGUGCCUAAUACGUGCAAGUCGAGCGAACAGACGAGGAGCUUGCUCCUCUGACGUUAGCGGCGGACGGGUGAGUAACACGUGGAUAACCUACCUAUAAGACUGGGAUAAAUUCGGGAAACCGGAGCUAAUACCGGAUAAUAUAUUGAACCGCAUGGUUCAAUAGUGAAAGACGGUUUUGCUGUCACUUAUAGAUGGAUCCGCGCCGCAUUAGCUAGUUGGUAAGGUAACGGCUUACCAAGGCAACGAUGCGUAGCCGACCUGAGAGGGUGAUCGGCCACACUGGAACUGAGACACGGUCCAGACUCCUACGGGAGGCAGCAGUAGGGAAUCUUCCGCAAUGGGCGAAAGCCUGACGGAGCAACGCCGCGUGAGUGAUGAAGGUCUUCGGAUCGUAAAACUCUGUUAUUAGGGAAGAACAAAUGUGUAAGUAACUAUGCACGUCUUGACGGUACCUAAUCAGAAAGCCACGGCUAACUACGUG
rnacentral:rRNA from 1 species